rnacentral:rRNA from 1 species
GUAGGUGGCAAGCGUUGUCCGGAAUUAUUGGGCGUAAAGCGCGCGCAGGCGGUUCUUUAAGUCUGAUGUGAAAGCCCACGGCUCAACCGUGGAGGGUCAUUGGAAACUGGAGAACUUGAGUACAGAAGAGGAAAGCGGAAUUCCACGUGUAGCGGUGAAAUGCGUAGAGAUGUGGAGGAACACCAGUGGCGAAGGCGGCUUUCUGGUCUGUAACUGACGCUGAGGCGCGAAAGCGUGGGGAGCGAACAGGGAUUAGAUACCCUGGUAGUCCACGCCGUAAACGAUGAGUGCUAAGUGUUAGGGGGUUUCCGCCCCCUUAGUGCUGCAGCUAACGCAUUAAGCACUCCGCCUGGGGAUACGGCCGCAAGGCUG